UGAACUCAGCUUGGAUGGCCAGACU
rnacentral:piRNA from 1 species